UACGAAGGGGGCUAGCGUUGCUCGGAAUUACUGGGCGUAAAGGGCGCGUAGGCGGGUCGUUAAGUUAGAGGUGAAAGCCCAGGGCUCAACCCUGGAAUUGCCUUUAAUACUGUCGACCUUGAGUAUGGCAGAGGUGUGUGGAACUCCGAGUGUAGAGGUGAAAUUCGUAGAUAUUCGGAAGAACACCAGUGGCGAAGGCGACACACUGGGCCAUUACUGACGCUGAGGCGCGAAGGCGUGGGGAGCAAACAGG
rnacentral:rRNA from 1 species